CCGUUAGACAGCACAACCGAACCCAACACCGGGGCCCAACGGCAGGGGCUUGGGCAGGAGCAAGGUCCGAGGGCUGCCAGGUCCACGCUGCUUUUAUGAGCUGUAACACUCACCGCGAAGAUCUGCAGCUUCACUCCUGAGCCCAGCGAGACCACGAGCCCACCGGGAGGAACAAACAACUCCAGACGCGCUGCCUUAAGAGCUGUAACACUUGCCGUGAAGGUCUGCAGCUUCACUCCUGAGCCAGCGAGACCACGAACCCACCAGAAGGAAGAAACUCCGAACACAUCUCAACAUCAGAACGGACAGACUCCAGACGCACCACCUUAAGAGCUGUAACACUCACCGCGAGGUUCCGCGGCUUCAUUCUUGAAGUCAGUUCGUGAGCCACACAUCUCCCCACACCAAGCUCCUCCAUACAAGACCUCGGACUGCAUCACGUAAAUGCUUUUUCAGGGGCAAAAUCUAGAGAAUCUGAAACGAGCUAUCAGCUUCCCAGUUUGCACAAUUCAUCAAGAAAUUAUGCGGGGUCACUGGCACAAAUGAUGAGGCAUCUCCUGGAAGCUUAACUUCUUAUCCAUCCCAUCUCUUGGACAGAUGAUGCCAGUUAAUUACUUUGAAUGGGUCUGUCACACGCAGCCCAACUCAACUGGAGUCCUGAGAAGGUGAACAGACCAGGAUGGAUGGCCAGGGAACUCACCAGAAGUCCCCAGGCAUCAGAACAAGGUCGAAGCAUCCUGCCAGGUGCUCACCUUCUAGCACAUUCUUCAAGAGUUACUCUGAGGCAAGCCAGCCGCCAUGUCAUGAGGACACUCAAGCAGCACCAUGGAGAGGUCCGAUGGCGAGGAACAGAGGAUCCCCCUGCCGACAGCCAAUGAGGAACAGGCCUCCUGCCAACAGCCGUGUAAGGGGUCACCUUGGAAGCCAAUGGCCCCUCCCUGGUCAGGCUUUUACAUGACUGCAGUCCUGGCCAACAUCCUGACGGCAACCUCAUGAGAGACCUUGAGCCAGAGCCACCCACCUAAGCUGCUUAUAGGUUCCUGGCCCUCAGAAAUCACAUGAGAUCAUAAAUGUUUGCUCAAUUUGAGAUAUUUGUGAUGUAGCAAUAAAUAACAAACACACUUACCUUUCAGGGUUAUUAUGAGAAUUAAGAGUUAAUACACAUCAAACUACAACCAAACUUGCUGGGACCAGAGGCUCAAGAAAGGGCAGACAGGGCCGGGUGCAGUGGCUCAUGCCUGUAAUCCCAAUACUUUGGGAGGCCGAGGCAGGUGGAUCAUCUGAGGUCAGGAGUUCGAGACCAGCUGGCCAACAUGGUGAAACCCUGUGUCUACUAAAAAUACAAAAAUUAGCCAGGCAUGGUGGCGGACACCUGUAAUCCCAGCUACUCGGG
ensembl:lncRNA novel transcript